GUCCCUAAUCUGGUCCCAGUAUCAAUGAAAGCUCGCAGCUCUUCUCGGAAAGCUUCGACUCGCUUACGCUUUCGUUUAUCGCGUGUGCCGGCCAUUCAUUGAUAACUAUCAUCGCGCGAUGUGUAUCGACAAGUUCGCGGAACAACUGAUGCAUCAAUGUUAAUUAAUUAGUUUCUCGCUUCCGUGAAAACGUGCCACUUAUUGCGUGACGAUUAUUAUACAAUAUUAUACAACACUCUCAAUAAAUUUGUCAUAACGACGUUGCCGAUUGUGCAAUUCGCGGGAACCCUUGAUUGCUUCAUACUCUUGACCUCUCGCCAUUCAAGCAAGAGAGAAGACUCAUUCUUCGUACGAGGAAUAAGUGGAAAAUCCCAAUUCGUCAGCCACGAGAUGCGUCCGGAAUGCGUCCGGAAUGCCAGUUGCAUCCACUAUUCGCGCUUGCGGCGGGUAGUAGCAUCAGUGUCGAGUCAGACGUCUCGGAUAUCGGAUCCCUCGCUACUUACUCUCGUCGUUGUCUCCCUCGCGAAGGAAGUCGCCGGUGAAUUCAGUGGCGGAUCUAUUGAUCCAAAGCGUCGCGCAGGAUAUCGCUGGCCAUGCCGGAUUACCGUGGCCUCUUCAAGUUGUUUCUCCGGCGGGUUUGUAGUUGACGUCAUAUACAGAGUGGAGAAUUACAGAAAAAAAAGGAAUUGAUCGAAAUCGCACAUUCCACAACUGCGUACAUUUCAAUCUGUCCUUUUUAGCCGAUGCAAUUGAUGCGCUUGUAUGAUUUCGACCUGUGUGACUCAUGCGGAUUGUCGGUGAGCGAAGCCUCGGAUCGUCCGGUCGCGAUGUGGCAGUCAAUUGAUUCAACGAUCAGAAGAAAAACGUCCUGAUUGCGACUGGCCGCGAUCUCCCGAUCUCCGCAAUUUACGAUCCGCUUGCACGGUCAGGUCGACGCAAAUAUUUGCUCGGCCGUUACUCGUGAAAACAUCGUGACUCUUUCUUCUGUCCGCAACUGAACUCUCUUUGUGAACUUUUCUAUAUUCGUUCACGCGCAAAUGUGCAAAAUAUUGAAAUGUAAAAUAUUGAGAGACAUCUUGUAAAGCUUACUAAACAUUUCGUUAUUUGAUGAUUUACAAAAAUCAAUCGGCUUGAUUUUACUGAAACUCACUUGGAUCCGAAAAAAGUUUAAGAAUAAAAAUUAUAUCAUGUAAAAUUAACAAAUAGUAUUACAACUUUCAAAGCUAAUACUUUCUUUAAAACACACACACACACACACACACACACUCAACACAUAGGUGUAUAAUUUUCUUAAAAUAUAACGUAAAACAUGAACUAAAUUAAAUUAAAAUAUUUUUUUCAAUUUUAAUGAAAAUUUAAAAUUUGAUAUUUAUCCCAGACACGCAUUCUCGAUGUGCGUAAAAUGUUUAAUACUUAUUAACAAAUAACAGAGAGAGAGCAUGCAGUAGGGGGAAUAUUGAGUGGUUACUGGCAGGAAUCAACGGAGUGGAAACUGUCGCGCAAUUAGCAGACCGGGGGUCAUGUAAACGAGCCUAAUGCGAGCCCACGAGCUCAUAAAUAGCGCUAAUAGCAUUGUUCGCGCGUGAGAGCCGUGUGUAAAUACAGAGGGCGCGGGCAAGUAUACGAAAGAGGGUGGAAGAAGGUGGAAGGUCAACAGAGGAGAGGUAUCCAGCCAUAAUAGCCGCCUACAUGCUCCAGCGAAAUUACCUUUCGAUCUAUUUACCUCCAGAAAACGUCGAGUUACGUCAGUCGUGUCAGUUGGAUGCUCGAUGAUAGGCUCACUUGUUAUUAGCGAGCGUUUUUAGCUUGCAUUCGCAAUCAAAAAUUUGCACGCGUGCACUCGUGAGAUUUGUUGGCAUCGGAAAUUUUAAUUUAAGAGAACGGAAAUAACGGUGCUCGGUACGUUUACAUUGAGACUGUCUCAACUAUCACCGAAUUUGUAUUGUCUGGUUAUAGAUUUUAUUAUGUCAUUAUCCUUUUAAUAUUGCUGAAAGUAAUAUAUAUUUCAUUAGUGAACUCGUUGAAUAAAUAUUCCAUAUAAUUGAAUCAUAUAAUUCCAGGUAAUAAAUGUUGUAUACCACAUCGUUAAAAUUGCAUCAUUGAAAAAUAACGCAGCGGAAGCAGAUAAGAAUAUGCGCGCGCUUAGCAGGAAUUGCUACACGCGCAAGAUCUUUUAGCAAUAAUCUGAUUUUCAGCUCCGUUUUCUUUUUUGAUCCUUAUCUCCCAGCUCGGCUAACUCAUUCAUCAGAAGAUACGAGAAAGCGGUAUAACUGCGUUCUCGUGUAGUUAUCGUGCUUCUUUCUUACGAGCUUAAAGUAUGCAGGUACUUCAGAGCCGGAAAAUAAGCAGAAAACGCACAAGAAGAAAGAGGACGCGUAUAUUCUCGCGUGGAAAGUAAAUAUAUAUCAGUAAAGCGGAGAUCUUUCGUGCCGGAGAUAAAGUGCGAUUCGCGAGUAAAUUUCCCGCGACGCGACGUCCCGCGCGUUUUCUCGCGCCGUUUCAUCCCCGAUGGAUAAUUUAUCGUCCAGCUCUCUGCUGCGACCCCAUCAUGGAUGUCACGCUACACUCUCGCGACGUCGUUCUUGUUCCACUUACGAUUCUGCCGCGCCCGCGGGACGGAUAUUUUUGGCGGACCUUCCGGGGAUUUGUCGAGCGGAACUUUCGGCCGCGCUCUGGAAAUCGCUCUGCUUCCAGCAUGCUCCCGUCAAUUACCGCCUGUUUCCAGCUAUCGCUGCCGUCAAUGAAAGGUCUUAACGCAGCCCACGCUAUCGAAAACGGAAAUUUCAAUUAAAGUCAAGCGUCCCGCUAUGACAUAUCGAUGUGGAUACGUUUGAAUCUGUAUUUGCCAAAUAUGCAAACCAUUUUAUUAAUUAUUUUUUUAGAUAUGGUUUCUUUAUUUAUUUUUUAUUUUGUUUCGUCUGUGAUAUUGUGUAACGAUAUCAUGCAUAAUCGCGAACGAUACUCUGUCCCUCUGUCCCUUUCUCUCUCUUUUUCAGUCUUGUGUCAAUAUCAAGCGCAUCAGUGUCAUUCGCAAACUCGAUAUUACCGUUGCUAAGGGAAAAGAAAUAAUAUAGGGAUAAAAUAUCAGUUAUAAAUGGGAGGAAGUCAAUUGCUUUUCUUUAUCGUAUCAAUUACUAGUUUAUUUGUUUUCUGGAAUAUAAAUAUCCGAAGCAAUGCAAAAUGAUUCUACCUCGCGUUCUGCUACCCUUUCGCGCUCUGCUACCUUCUAUCUGUUGGGUCCAAUACUCCCAAUUUAUAUUAAUCAUUGGAUGUCAAAUCGAGCGCGGCGUGCCACUCAAUCUGGUCAUGAUCCAGACGCGUUCGAACCCAGAGGCAUUUUGUCGACAUACCUCGACCUGCAUGCCCGAAAGUACACAUGUAUAGUAGUGUCCAUAAAUUCACGAAUGUACCGGUUUUACAGAAUAAUGACUUUCGCUUAAUAAAACGCGGAUACUCUUCAAUGAGAAUGCAGAAUGGCAAAAAUUGCCAAAUCAAAACUGGCAGUUGAAAACAACAGGAUUUAUCGCAAAACAAUUUUCGAUCGUAUAAGUGGAGAACAAAAUUUUAAUGGAUAUUUAAUUUUAAAUGGACGCUGUAUUAAUGAACUGCGAGGAGAAAAUAAUUAGAGAUCCAUACACGAGGAUGGGAAUUUGGGAGAAGUUAAAAAAAAGCGGUGAGAGCCUGCAAUUAAAUUUUGCUGCAAGGAAAAUAAUUAAUGAGAGUUUGUUCAUGCGAAAUAUAGGCGGUAGUGUUGCUUCGCGCUUUUACCUUAGCGUAACUGUAUUUGCUUGCAGUUUCCGUUAAGAGCAUUUGCUUCCGUCGUAUUUGUACUCAAGCUGCACUAUACGUAAUCAGAUCGGGACAAAGUUUGUGCACGGGAAGGUCGUAUGUCCAGGCAAGGAGCUUGAAUUGGAACUGUGGGACUGACUAGCCAGAGAAUGAGUUCAGUCCGACACAAUUAACCCAUUAGGAUACCGAUCUGUCUUUCCGCCGGUCAGUGUAGCCUUGCGUUUAUUGCGAACAGUUGGUUAAAACGCUUAAGAAUAAUAAAUUUCCGUAGCUUCGUGUACAGUGAAGAAGAAACCCAUCUAUCGUACGGAAAUUCAUGAUUCUGAAAAUAACUUUUCUUGAUAUGCAGC